rnacentral:rRNA from 1 species
CGGAGCAGUACUAAUAGAUGCGAGUCCGAACGCGCAGCAUAAAGGUGCUUGCACCUUUCAAGCGAGUGGCGAACGGGUGAGUAACACGUGGAUAACCUGCCUCAAGGCUGGGGAUAACAUUUGGAAACAGAUGCUAAUACCGAAUAAAACUUAGUAUCGCAUGAUACAAAGUUGAAAGGCGCUACGGCGUCACCUAGAGAUGGGUCCGCGGUGCAUUAGUUAGUUGGUGGGGUAAAGGCCUACCAAGACAAUGAUGCAUAGCCGAGUUGAGAGACUGAUCGGCCACAUUGGGACUGAGACACGGCCCAAACUCCUACGGGAGGCUGCAGUAGGGAAUCUUCCACAAUGGGCGAAAGCCUGAUGGAGCAACGCCGCGUGUGUGAUGAAGGCUUUAGGGUCGUAAAGCACUGUUGUAUGGGAAGAAAUGCUAGAAUAGGGAAUGAUUCUAGUUCGACGGUACCAUACCAGAAAGGGACGGCUAAAUACGUGCCAGCAGCCGCGGUAAUACGUAUGUCCCGAGCGUUAUCCGGAUUUAUUGGGCGUAAAGCGAGCGCAGACGGUUGAUUAAGUCUGAUGUGAAAGCCCGGAGCUCAACUCCGGAAUGGCAUUGGAAACUGGUUAACUUGAGUGUUGUAGAGGUAAGUGGAACUCCAUGUGUAGCGGUGGAAUGCGUAGAUAUAUGGAAGAACACCAGUGGCGAAGGCGGCUUACUGGACAACAACUGACGUUGAGGCUCGAAAGUGUGGGUAGCAAACAGGAUUAGAUACCCUGGUAGUCCACACCGUAAACGAUGAAUACUAGGUGUUAGGAGGUUUCCGCCUCUUAGUGCCGAAGCUAACGCAUUAAGUAUUCCGCCUGGGGAGUACGACCGCAAGGUUGAAACUCAAAGGAAUUGACGGGGACCCGCACAAGCGGUGGAGCAUGUGGUUUAAUUCGAAGCAACGCGAAGAACCUUACCAGGUCUUGACAUCCUUUGAAGCUUCUAGAGAUAGAAGUGUUCUCUUCGGAGACAAAGUGACAGGUGGUGCAUGGUCGUCGUCAGCUCGUGUCGUGAGAUGUUGGGUUAAGUCCCGCAACGAGCGCAACCCUUAUUGUUAGUUGCCAGCAUUCAGUUGGGCACUCUAGCGAGACUGCCGGUGACAAACCGGAAGAAGGCGGGGACGACUUCAGAUCAUCAUGCCCCUUAUGACCUGGGCUAACA